UACAGAGGGGGCAAGCGUUGUUCGGAAUUACUGGACGUAAAGGGCGCGUAGGCGGCCUUCUAAGUCGAACGUGAAAUCCCCGGGCUCAACCCGGGAACUGCGUCCGAUACUGGAAGGCUUGAAUCCGGGAGAGGGAUGCGGAAUUCCAGGUGUAGCGGUGAAAUGCGUAGAUAUCUGGAGGAACACCGGUGGCGAAGGCGGCAUCCUGGACCGGCAUUGACGCUGAGGCGCGAAAGCCAGGGGAGCAAACGGG
rnacentral:rRNA from 1 species